rnacentral:rRNA from 1 species
CCUACGGGAGGCAGCAGUGGGGAAUAUUGCACAAUGGGGGAAACCCUGAUGCAGCGACGCCGCGUGGGUGACGAAGUAUUUCGGUAUGUAAAGCCCUAUCAGCAGGGAAGAAGAUGACAGUACCUGACUAAGAAGCCCCGGCUAACUACGUGCCAGCAGCCGCGGUAAUACGUAGGGGGCAAGCGUUAUCCGGAUUUACUGGGUGUAAAGGGAGCGUAGGUGGCAUGGCCAGCCAGAAGUGAAAACCCGGGGCUUAACCCCGCGGAUUGCUUUUGGAACUGUCAGGCUGGAGGGCAGGAGGGGCAGGCGGAAUUCCUGGUGUAGCGGUGAAAGGCGUAGAUAUCAGGAGGAACACCGGUGGCGAAGGCGGCCUGCUGGACUGUAACUGACACUGAGGCUCGAAAGCGUGGGGAGCAAACAGGAUUAGAUACCCGUGUAGUC